CAGUUAAAAGCCUUUAAUAAUCAAAAUGAGAUGUACAGUAUACAUGGUACAGCUGUGUAAGUCAGAUUUUGCUCAGACGUCGUCCGUGCGUGUUGGAGCUCCGCGGUAACUGGUGGCCUUCAAUACAGAAAACAAACUAUGAAGCUGCUAUUUCUGCUCGGCGCUCUGAUGUUAGUUGUGGCGUUUGCCCAACGACCUUACAUGUAUCGUCGACCCCCUCGUUUAUAUCUAUUAGGAGGGUACCCAGGUUACAUGGGUCGUUGGGUAGGGCGAUACGGAGGGGCGGGAGCCGGACCAAUGUUUGCUGACGGAGAAGGACCGCCGGGGACUAGAGAGUACCAUGCAUCUCAUGGACAUUUUCAUCCACAUUAAGCUCAUCGAACAUCUUCACAAUACGCCGUUUUGCUUCCACGGAUGUGUUAUGACAACCAGCACGUGUAUUGUCAUGUAUAUGUUUUAAUAAAACUGUGAAAGGUGA